UACGUAGGGUGCAAGCGUUGUCCGGAAUUAUUGGGCGUAAAGAGCUUGUAGGCGGUUUGUCGCGUCUGCUGUGAAAUUUCGGGGCUCAACCCCGAACUUGCAGUGGGUACGGGCAGACUAGAGUGUGGUAGGGGAGACUGGAAUUCCUGGUGCAGCGGUGAAAUGCGCAGAUAUCAGGAGGAACACCGGUGGCGAAGGCGGCAUCCUGGACCGGUAUUGACGCUGAGGCGCGAAAGCCAGGGGAGCAAACGGG
rnacentral:rRNA from 1 species